rnacentral:rRNA from 1 species
UACGUAGGCAGCAAGCGUUGUUCGGAGUUACUGGGCGUAAAGGGUGUGUAGGCGGUUCUUUAAGUUUGGUGUGAAAUCUCCCGGCUCAACCGGGAGGGUGCGCCGAAUACUGAGGGACUAGAGUGCGGGAGAGGAAAGUGGAAUUCCUGGUGUAGCGGUGAAAUGCGUAGAUAUCAGGAGGAACACCGGUGGUGUAGACGGCUUUCUGGACCGUAACUGACGCUGAGGCACGAAAGCGUGGGUAGCAAACAGG